rnacentral:rRNA from 1 species
UGGGGGAUAUUGGACAAUGGGCGCAAGCCUGAUCCAGCAACGCCGCGUGGAGGACGAAGGUCUUCGGAUCGUAAACUCCUGUCAGGCGGGACGAAGGCUGCGGGGUAAAUAAUCCCGUAGCUUGACGGUACUGCCAGAGGAAGCCCCGGCUAACUCCGUGCCAGCAGCCGCGGUAAUACGUAGGGGGCAAGCGUUGUCCGGAUUUAUUGGGCGUAAAGAGCGUGUAGGCGGCCAGGUAGGUCCGCUGUGAAAACUCGAGGCUCAACCUCGAGAUGUCGGCGGAAACCAUCUGGCUAGAGUCCGGAAGAGGAAAGUGGAAUUCCCGGUGUAGCGGUGAAAUGCGCAGAUAUCGGGAAGAACACCCGUGGCGAAGGCGGCUUUCUGGGACGGUACUGACGCUGAGACGCGAAAGCGUGGGGAGCGAA